UACGAACUGUGCGAACGUUAUUCGGAAUCACUGGGCUUACAGGGUUCGUAGGCGGCUAUUCAGGUCAGGUGUGAAAGCCCCCGGCUCAACCGGGGAACUGCGCUUGAAACCGAGUGGCUCGAGUCAGCUAGAGGUACACGGAACUUCCAGUGGAGCGGUGAAAUGUGUUGAUAUUGGAAGGAACACCGGAGGCGAAAGCGGUGUACUGGGGCUGGUCUGACGCUGAGGCACGAAAGCCAGGGGAGCGAACGGG
rnacentral:rRNA from 1 species